AGAGAGUUAGUCUAACAAAGACAGUUGAUUUCGGCUCAACAGACCAUAGCCCAAUCCUAUGACUCUCUU
rnacentral:tRNA from 1 species